UACGUAGGGUGCGAGCGUUGUCCGGAAUUACUGGGCGUAAAGAGCUCGUAGGUGGUUUGUCACGUUGUCUGUGAAAUUCCGGGGCUUAACCUCGGGCGUGCAGGCGAUACGGGCAAUACUUGAGUGCUGUAGGGGAGACUGGAAUUCCUGGUGUAGCGGUGAAAUGCGCAGAUAUCAGGAGGAACACCGAUGGCGAAGGCAGGUCUCUGGGCAGUAACUGACGCUGAGGAGCGAAAGCAUGGGUAGCGAACAGGAUUAGA
rnacentral:rRNA from 1 species